rnacentral:rRNA from 1 species
GAUGAACGCUGGCGGCGUGCCUAAUACAUGCCAGUCGAGCGAACGGACGAGAAGCUUGCUUCUCUGAUGUUAGCGGCGGACGGGUGAGUAACACGUGGAUAACCUACCUAUAAGACUGGGAUAACUUCGGGAAACCGGAGCUAAUACCGGAUAAUAUUUUGAACCGCAUGGUUCAAAAGUAAAAGACGGUCUUGCUGUCACUUAUAGAUGGAUCCGCGCUGCAUUAGCUAGUUGGUAAGGUAACGGCUUACCAAGGCAACGAUGCAUAGCCGACCUGAGAGGGUGAUCGGCCACACUGGAACUGAGACACGGUCCAGACUCCUACGGGAGGCAGCAGUGGGGAAUCUUCCGCAAUGGGCGAAAGCCUGACGGAGCAACGCCGCGUGAGUGAUGAAGGUCUUCGGAUCGUAAAACUCUGUUAUUAGGGAAGAACAUAUGUGUAAGUAACUGUGCACAUCUUGACGGUACCUAAUCAGAAAGCCACGGCUAACUACGUG